AUAUUACAUUGGCAGCACAUGUACUAAAAUCGGAACAAUACAGAGAUUAGCAUGGCCCCUGUGCAAGGAUGACAGGCACAUUUGUCAUAUGCCUAAGCGACUGUU